GACGAACGCUGGCGGCGUGCUUAACACAUGCAAGUCGAACGAUGAACCGGUUUCGGCCGGGGAUUAGUGGCGAACGGGUGAGUAACACGUGGGCAAUCUGCCCUGCACUCUGGGACAAGCCCUGGAAACGGGGUCUAAUACCGGAUAUUGACCUGCCUCUGCAUGGGGGUGGGUGGAAAGCUCCGGCGGUGCAGGAUGAGCCCGCGGCCUAUCAGCUAGUUGGUGAGGUAAUGGCUCACCAAGGCGACGACGGGUAGCCGGCCUGAGAGGGCGACCGGCCACACUGGGACUGAGACACGGCCCAGACUCCUACGGGAGGCAGCAGUGGGGAAUAUUGCACAAUGGGCGAAAGCCUGAUGCAGCGACGCCGCGUGAGGGAUGACGGCCUUCGGGUUGUAAACCUCUUUCAGCAGGGAAGAAGCGAAAGUGACGGUACCUGCAGAAGAAGCGCCGGCUAACUACGUGCCAGCAGCCGCCGCAGUAAAAC
rnacentral:rRNA from 1 species